rnacentral:rRNA from 1 species
CGGGUUUGGGUGGACCAGCGGGAGGGAUCAUUA